rnacentral:rRNA from 1 species
UACGAAGGGGGCUAGCGUUGCUCGGAAUUACUGGGUGUAAAGAGUUCGUAGGCGGUGCGGCAAGUUGGGAGUGAAAUCUCUGGGCUUAACCCAGAGGCUGCUUCCAAAACUGCUGUGCUUGAGUGUGGGAGAGGCGCGUGGAAUUGCAGGUGUAGCGGUGAAAUGCGUAGAUAUCUGCAGGAACACCCGUGGCGAAAGCGGCGCGCUGGACCACUACUGACGCUGAGGAACGAAAGCUAGGGGAGCAAACAGG